rnacentral:rRNA from 1 species
UACGAAGGGGGCUAGCGUUGUUCGGAAUUACUGGGCGUAAAGCGCACGUAGGCGGAAUGUUAAGUCAGGGGUGAAAUCCUGGAGCUCAACUCCAGAACUGCCUUUGAUACUGGCGAUCUUGAGUCCGGGAGAGGUGAGUGGAACUGCGAGUGUAGAGGUGAAAUUCGUAGAUAUUCGCAAGAACACCAGUGGCGAAGGCGGCUCACUGGCCCGGUACUGACGCUGAGGUGCGAAAGCGUGGGGAGCAAACAGG